rnacentral:autocatalytically_spliced_intron from 1 species
AACCGCCGUAUACGAGACCCGUACGUACGGUGGUGUGAGAGGCGCACCUCGCUAACUUAACGGUUGGCGAGGCCGUCUACUCGAU